rnacentral:rRNA from 1 species
CAGUCGUACCGACGAGAAGUCAGCUUUUCGAAUGUGCAUUUGUGGGCGUAGGUGAGAGCUUCACGGCCUUGUUGUUUGCAAUAUGUAUGUUUCUUUGGUGUACUUUUUCGUAUGGUAGGUCAAUGUCGGUUUUGAUCGCCAUAAAAUGAUCGGAGGAAUGUAGCUUCGGCCUCGGUUGAAGUGUUAUAGCCUUUGGUAAAUGUGGUAAUUAGGACCGAGGAUUGCAACGAAUACCUUUUAGGCUAUCCGCCUGACCUCUG